rnacentral:rRNA from 1 species
CUACGUAGCUCAGAGUUUGAUCCUGGCUCAGGACGAACGCUGGCGGCGUGCCUAACACAUGCAAGUCGAACGGAGAUAGGCGCUGAUUUGAUGGUAGCUUGCUACUGGAUUUUCUUGUCUAUCUUAGUGGCGGACGGGUGAGUAACGCGUGAGCAACCUGCCUUUCAGAGGGGGAUAACGUUCGGAAACGAACGCUAAUACCGCAUAAAACAGCAGUACGGCAUCGUACAACUGUCAAAGGAGCAAUCCGCUGAAAGAUGGGCUCGCGUCCGAUUAGUUAGUUGGUGAGGUAACGGCUCACCAAGACGAUGAUCGGUAGCCGGACUGAGAGGUUGAACGGCCACAUUGGGACUGAGACACGGCCCAG